UUACGCUGUUAUCCCUAAGGUAAUUUAAUCUUAUAAUCAAAAUCAAUGGAUCAAGCAACUACAANUCAAUAUAACGAAAAUGAAGAGGAGUUAAAUUAUAUCCCUCUCNUCGCCCCAACAAAACNUAAUAGGCCCACUUAANUAAACAAAACAAACAAUAAACAAAAAUAGACCAAAUGUNAAAUUCUAUAGGGUCUUCUCGUCCCACAAAAACAUCUAAGAAUUUUAACUCAAAAACCAAAUUCAAUAAAACAUUCAUAAUUUAAGACAGCUCGCAUCUCGUCAAGCCAUUCAUUCCAGAUCACAAUUAAAGAACUAAUGAUUAUGCUACCUUUGCACGGUCAAAAUACCGCGGCCCUUCAACACUCAGUGAGCGGGCAGGCCAUACUUCAAAAACUAACAAGAAAAGAUGUUUUUGAUAAACAGGCG
rnacentral:rRNA from 1 species